rnacentral:rRNA from 1 species
GACAGAGGGGGCAAGCGUUGCUCGGAAUCACUGGGCGGAAAGGGCGCGUAGGCGGGCUGGCAAGUCGGUCGUGAAAUCCUUCGGCUCAACCGAAGAACGUCGGCCGAUACUGCCGUUCUUGAGGGAUGCAGAGGAGAUUGGAAUUCCCGGUGUAGCGGUGAAAUGUGUAGAGAUCGGGAGGAACACCGGUGGCGAAGGCGGGUCUCUGGGCAUCUCCUGACGCUGAGGCGCGAAAGCGUGGGGAGCAAACGGG